rnacentral:rRNA from 1 species
AAGGAACAUGGGCGCAGCCUGAUGCAGCGACGCCGCGUGAGGGAUGACGGCCUUCGGGUUGUAAACCUCUUUCAGUAGGGAAGAAGCGAGAGUGACGGUACCUGCAGAAGAAGCGCCGGCUAACUACGUGCCAGCAGCCGCGAUAAUAGA